rnacentral:lncRNA from 1 species
GGAAGAGCAGACAUGAGAAACUGCUCCUUUAACUUACUUGGAAUCAACUACAACAUGUGUGCCUGGGAGAAAAAAAAAAAGAGUAUGUGUUUGGAAUGCCUGAAUCUGCUGCGGUUGUAGAAAAACUGUGCAUGAAUGGAUCUCGUUUCUUGGAGCUUCAGUCCUGCAACAUGAUUCAUGAGACUGCAGGUGCACCAUGGCCACAGAGUAAAAGUGGGUUUUACCAACAGCUCAC